AGGAGGGGAGCCGCCGUGGCGCCCACCCCCUGUAACAGCAACUCCAUGUGGGACGGCUUCCUUCUUCCAGUGGGGGCGCUGUUACCUUGGGUGGGCAGCCCAGAUCCCGCAGAAAGAA
rnacentral:pre_miRNA from 12 species